rnacentral:rRNA from 1 species
AUUGAACGCUGGCGGCAUGCCUUACACAUGCAAGUCGAACGGUAGAGUAGCAAUACUCGAGAGAGGCGAACGGGUGAGUAAUAUAUCGGAACGUGCCCAAUCGUGGGGGAUAACGUAGAGAAAUUUACGCUAAUACCGCAUACGAUCUAAGGAUGAAAGCGGGGGAUCGCAAGACCUCGCGCGAUUGGAGCGGCUGAUAU